rnacentral:rRNA from 1 species
CAGUAGCCGCGGUAAUACGGAGGGAGCUAGCGUUGUUCGGAAUUACUGGGCGUAAAGCGCGCGUAGGCGGUUACUCAAGUCAGAGGUGAAAGCCCGGGGCUCAACCCCGGAACUGCCUUUGAAACUAGGUGACUAGAAUCUUGGAGAGGUCAGUGGAAUUCCGAGUGUAGAGGUUAAAUUCGUAGAUAUUCGGAAGAACACCAGUGGCGAAGGCGACUGACUGGACAAGUAUUGACGCUGAGGUGCGAAAGCGUGGGGAGCAAACAGGAUUAGAUACCCCUGUAGUCCCUGUCUCUUAUAC